AGCGAACGCUGGCGGCAUGCCUAACACAUGCAAGUCGAACGAGACCUUCGGGUCUAGUGGCGCACGGGUGCGUAACGCGUGGGAACCUGCCCUUAGGUUCGGAAUAACUCCCCGAAAGGGGUGCUAAUACCGGAUAAUGUCUUCGGACCAAAGAUUUAUCGACUUUGGAUGGGCCCGCGUUGGAUUAGCUAGUUGGUAGGGUAAAAGCCUACCAAGGCGACGAUCCAUAGCUGGUCUGAGAGGAUGAUCAGCCACACUGGGACUGAGACACGGCCCAGACUCCUACGGGAGGCAGCAGUGGGGAAUAUUGGACAAUGGGCGAAAGCCUGAUCCAGCAAUGCCGCGUGAGUGAUGAAGGCCUUAGGGUUGUAAAGCUCUUUUACCCGGGAUGAUAAUGACAGUACCGGGAGAAUAAGCUCCGGCUAACUCCGUG
rnacentral:rRNA from 1 species